rnacentral:misc_RNA from 1 species
GAAAUGCGAUAAGUAAUGUGAAUUGCAGAAUUCCGUGAAUCAUCGAAUCUUUGAACGCACAUUGCGCCCCCUGGCAUUCCGGGGGGCAUGCCUGUCCGAGCGUCAUUUCUGCCCUCAAGCACGGCUUGUGUGUUGGGUGUGGUCCCCCCGGGGACCUGCCCGAAAGGCAGCGGCGGCGCCGCGUCCGGUCCUCGAGCGUAUGGGGCUUUGUCACACGCUCUGGUAGGCCCGGCCGGCUUGCUGGCCAACGACCUCACGGUCACCUAACUUCUCUCUUAGGUUGACCUCGGAUCAGGUAGGGAUACCCGCUGAACUUAA